rnacentral:rRNA from 1 species
AUGGUGCCAUUUACUCACCCCCGCAGUUGCUGGCACAACCCACUUCGCUUUUCAAACCAUUGGAGGAGAAGGCGAGGGGAGAAGGCGACGGCGGAGGCGGAAGAAUCGACGGUGUUCGCUGCCGUCAGUGGUGCUCGCCGAAACGGAGCGGCUUCACCGGAGCGCCUGCGGAUUGAAGUCGCCACAUUGUAUGAAUGUCAGUACAAUGAGGCAAAUUCAUUUAGAAUGGCUCGUGGCGAUCAUCAAAAUGAUGACGAUGAUUUCAUGGAUCCACCACAACAUAAUCGGGCAUCUGGACGGAGAAAAGAGGGUGAUGAGAAGAAGAAACGUAUUCGCAACAGAGCCUCCCAAGAACGACUGACUAUGUUGACCGACAGAUUUACCGAUGAUCAGAAGGGAGCUGCUACUAAGAUGGGUAUGCAGGCUCUGAUGAACAUCCGGUGCAUGAAUCUUGUCAACCCUGUAUGCGACUGGCUUGGUGAGAUUUACGACCCCGCCUCCAGGGAGUUUGUGAUUCCGGGACGUGGAAGACUACCGUUGAACGAGGAAUCCGUUUUCUGCACUUUGGGUGUGCCUCGUGGACAGAUGAAAGUCCCGUACGAGGUCAAUAACGAUAUCGAGCAAGAGCUGUUCCCCCAUUUGUUUCCUGGGUUGGAAUCCAUGCCGAACACGUCUGUACUGGCAGAUUCGCUGCAGGCAAUGACGACCCACGGAGAUGUUUUUAAGAUGAAGCUACUCAUGUAUCUCAUCUCAGCUGUUUUCAUGCCGACCACAUCUCUUCAGCCAAGCAACAAAUGCUUCCCCAUCCUGGCAAAACUGAAAGAUGUGAAGAACAUGAACUGGUGAGGCCCGCCGCCUACGCACAAGUUUGCUGUUUGUGCGUGGACUAUCAACGAUGUCAAGGCUAUGCUUGCCGCAGACAGGGUAACUGAUGCCAAAUAUGGAAAACUGCAGCUGAUGGCCAAGCAUGCUAUAGACUACAGCGUGUUUGGGGGGCCUCAAAACUUUGGAAAGUGGAUGGACGUGCACUCAGCUCCGUCUUUCCCUACUGAGGCGAGGGCACCUGUUGAGCAUCUAAUUGGGCAGUUUGCAUCCGGAAUGACCGGCUUGCUCGGGAAGUUGGUUGAGGGGUGGACGUCUCUUAGUGGCUCUGACAGCGACGCGGUUGCGAGGCAGUUCACUUCGUUUGUCCCAGAACAGACACAUCGGCCAAGUGGUUGUCGUGGCUGGUACGACUACAACAGUUCCCAAGAGUUUGCUGACACACAAGAUGAACUAGGUGGAGACGCUGGUAUCAGCAAGGAUGACGACGAUGACACGGAGAACGCGGAAGAGGAAACCGAUGAUGAUGAACAUGCUGAAGUUCGUGCAGGUGCUAACAAGGGGAAGGAUGCACCAUAUGUCCCUCCACCGGCGAAAGUCAAAGAACAUACGGCUGCGAGAGGCGAGGGGGUGAUGCCAUCAAAGAGGGGGAGGGCUCCAGAGGAUGUUGGGCAGGAUUCUCCUGGCAAGAGGGAGGCGACAGCUGGUGGACGAGCAGUUACAAAGAAACAGGCACCAACGCCAACCCGUGCUUCUGCUCGGUUGCACAAAGGUGCCCCCAUUGCUGGUGACACCCAUUCCACCAGGUCAUCUCCUCGUACGACGACAUCCAACACCGGGGAUCCUGUCGUGUUGCCAGACCUGAGAAAGCCAGCCAAGAAGGUGAAGAAGACUACUGCACGCGCGGUCAAGCAUACCAUUAGGGACCCACUCGAAUGUCUUCAUUCAAAGUUAUCAACAGGUGGCAACUCAGAUGUUCAUGAGGCGCCAGGCGACAAAACUGUUGCUGCACUGCCAACUGUUCCCACUAACUCUGACGCAAGUGGCCGACCAUCUCCGCCUGCUGCAGAUGUGCUGGCUAGAACAACGGGCCUCCGUACAUCAGGGAGUGAUGACUCGGUAUCUGCCAGGACCGCAGAAAUAUUGCCCACUCUGCUGGCAAUGAAGGAUGCUGCUGUGAGGCAUGCCACCCCAUCAGGAAGUGUUGAAGUGGAUGCCCCCAAGACCAACCCAAGCAAGGAAGAUUCCCGCUCAUCUGACACUGAUUCCAAGCACGUGUGUGGUGGCACUCAUGUGCCCACUAUAGAAGUUGCCGAGGCGGCAAUUCAUAAUGAUAUGCCAUCUGCAGGUGAGAGUCUUGGCACAACAGCUCCAGCUCCUGAUGGUGCAGAUAUUGCUCAGGCCACUGUUCCACGUGCUGGUCUUCCACCUAGGCGUCGUAGCCCUCGCAAGCAAUCAACAGUCGUAUCCAACGCACCAGCUGCAGCUAGGAGCAAUAGAGAUGAGUCUGGUUACGUCCCUGCGUCCACACUGUUCCCGCCAACCGCCAAAAGCAAUGUUAUGGAGAAACCAGAAGACCAGAGUACAACUGGUGCAGGUGCCAAGACGGGCACGAGGGAUGAAGGUGAACGUCCGGAGCAGACUACGCCUUUACCCGUAGUGGAAAUCCUCAGCUUAAAUCUGCGCACUUCCAAACUCCCAAUCAACAUCGGUGUCCCCUACAGCCCCAACAAGAGGAUUGUCAACAAAUCUACGCCCGUCACCACUGACAGCAUGCCGCGCCCUAUUGGCAGGCCUGAUGAUUCUACAGUGGCUGAUUCAGAUAUGUUUGUUGAUUUUUCACCAUUGGAUUCUGUCCCGCAAGUUGUUCGCGGUCCGGCCAGCAGGCAUGAGAGGCACCCAAUAGCCUUCACCCCACCGAGCUUCAGCCUUGGCGUUAGUCAAGAUCAACCAGUGGCUCAAGAUCCUAUGCCAGUUGCCUUUGCUUUUCCUGGAGGCGUGCCCGCAAUGAUGGCGCAGCCAAUGGUUGAGGGCAGGAAGGCUGUCAAGUUCGCAGAGCCGAUCGUCCAAGCCACCCCUGAGGAGAUUUCACCGUCACUUGAUGAAGCUUACUGCAGGAUCGAGGAGGCAGCAUUGCAGAGGAGCUCAUGUUUGGAUAGAACCAAGGUCAUUCAAUGCGGAGCGACGUACGUCGACCUGGGCGAUCUUGCCGAGUCCGUGAGGCCAAAUGGUAAAAUGUCGACGAAUGUAGCUGCAUGCGGGAUUGACUACAUCAACAAUCAUAUAGAUAUGUGUGCCGACAAAACUAUCAUGCAUUAUAGUGUGACCUGCAAAAUAUGGGAUGGUGACUUCAACCACAAAAUCCUGAGGAAGAAUUUCGCCCAACACGGUGAAUUCAAGCUCACACUGAAGAAAUAUGUCAUGUUCCCCAUGUUCCAGGAGCUUGCACCACACGACCCACACGACAAGUGUGGUCACCACUAUGCAAUCUGUCUUGACCUGAAGAACCAACGCUUUGAGGUUCUUGAUUCAAUGCGUUCGGCAGCUGUCCUCACUUCGCAUGCUGAAUUCUUCAUCAAUAACGUCAAAGAGACAUGGAACCGUCACUACGAACACUCAAAGGUCCAAAUCAGACAUUUCCCGAUUGAGUACAUGGAGACCACAAAUCAAGGGAACACACUUGUCCCCGCUGUCACAGCUACAAUGGUCGUUGAGCUCCGGAAAAUCUACACAUGGAACUGGUUGACGAAUGAAGAUUUCAACAAGCGGUACACAGCACGCGAGUUCGUGGAGGAUGAUGUCAAGAAAGUCAUCAAGAAGUACAAGUGA